AGAUUGAACGCUGGCGGCGUGCCUAACACAUGCAAGUCGAGCGGUAACAGGUGUAGCAAUACAUGCUGACGAGCGGCGAACGGGUGAGUAAUGCUUCGGAAUCUACCUUAUGGUGGGGAAUAACUAGCCGAAAGGUUAGCUAAUACCGCAUACGUCCUACGGGAGAAAGCGAGGGGAUCGCAAGACCUUGCGCCAAAAGAUGAGCCGAAGUCGGAUUAGCUAGUUGGUAGGGUAACGGCCUACCAAGGCGACGAUCCGUAGCUGGUCUGAGAGGACGACCAGCCACACUGGAACUGAGACACGGUCCAGACUCCGUACGGGA
rnacentral:rRNA from 1 species